UACGUAGGGGGCUAGCGUUGUCCGGAAUCAUUGGGCGUAAAGAGCGCGUAGGCGGCCAGAUAAGUCCGGUGUGAAAGUCAAAGGCUCAACCUUUGAAUGCCGCUGGAAACUGUCUGGCUAGAGUCCGGGAGGGGCGAGUGGAAUUCCUGGUGUAGCGGUGAAAUGCGCAGAUAUCAGGAGGAACACCGGUGGCGAAGGCGGGUCUCUGGGCCGAUACUGACGCUGGAGGAGCGAAAGCGUGGGGAGCGAACAGG
rnacentral:rRNA from 1 species